AACUCCGUAGUUCGUCUGCCUGAAAAAGGGACUGACCUUGCCGCUGGCGGUUCCUCCGCUGACCCCUAUUAGGAAAGGGCGGUGACGGGGCCUCUCUGCCUCGUCUAGGGUCCCAAGAGUAUCCAUCGCAGUCCAACUGCAGAAGCUUUUAUGCAGAGCGACUUACAUUUGAGGAACAGCGUAAGCUACAAAAAAGCAUCAAGAAAGUGGGACAUCUACAAGUGACAACAGAUUCAUCCACCACUAUCUCCAAAGCAGCACUUCCUUCGAUCUCUUCACAGUCUCUCCUUUGGCAGCAAGGAUUUCCUCGAUGUUUCUAAAGUGGAAAACAACACAACACGAGUAAUUCAGAAAUGUACCCAUGUCUAGUGUAUUUUGAACAUCGUGCGCACUCCAUGCUCAAAAGGCUGCAUGGGUCAAAAGCACCUCCAACCUCUUCCCUUCCAGGUCAGAGAACCAGUUGAGGUUAUCAGCGAUGAUAUGGUGGUUCUUGCAUCCUGAACAUGUCACUAUCACAACACCUUUGUGAUAAGCCUGCUUGGAUAUCUUCUGCGUGGACCUAGUAGAGCAAACCUGCAAACAUGUCACAUAAAUGACUUUUAAACCCAGGGAUAUGUCACAACAUAAAACAAACAGACCAAGAAAAUGUUUUGGGAUUUCAAGAUGGAAAACUUUAACAUCUGAUUAAAUAAAGCAACAGCACAAAUAAUGGCCCAACA